AGAGACAAAAACCCGACAAAAUGCAGAAAACAGCACAAAGCCAGCACAAAAUCUAUAUUUGAAGACAGUUUGAAUGAUGACACGAAGAAUGUAGUGGUAGUCGACAAUGAGUAAGAUUCUGGUGCCCUGCUGAAACAGCUGUACUGGUGAAGAAAUUAAUGAAGCAGCUAGAAAAACCUUUGGUGAAAAAAAAACCAAAACAAUGGAAGAGGAGAAUAUUUCAAAUCACUAAGAUUGAAUUAACCAUGUAUUGUAGGAGAAAAAAAUGGUGGAUGCUGGGAAAAUCUGCAAUCAUAAGAUAUAUCCAGGAAUCUUGUGGUCUUGUACUUCUGGGAUAAAUCACUUGUACAUCAGAAUUUUUUUCCUUGGCGAUUGUAGAAACUAUGUCUACAAAACUCAUUACAAUUUACUGGUUUACACUAUAUGGUGACGUUAAUCACUAUUCUAUAGUUUAAGCUAUUUUUGUGGUGUCAUUUCAUAGUUACAAAUCAUUUCAAAAUU